AAACGCCUGGGGAUUACGAGCGCAAGCUUAAAACCCAAAGGAUUUGACGGUGUCCCACCCACCUAGAGGAGCCUGUUCUAUAAUCGAUGAUCCACGAUUCACCUUACCAUUUUUCGCCUCCCUCAGCCUGUAUACCUCCGUCUCCAGCUUACCAUCUGAAUGCUGCAAAGUAAGUGCAAUGGGUUAAUACCCCAAUACGUCAGGUCAAGGUGCAGCUUAUAAAAUGGGAAGCAAUGGGCUACAAUUUCUAACAUAGAACAAACGAAAAACUAUAUGAAACAUAGUCAUGAAGGCGGAUUUAGCAGUAAAAGAAGAACAGCUAGCUUCUUUUAACCGAGCUCUGGGACGUGUACAAACCGCCCGUCACCCUCUUCAACAGCCCUUAAUUUAAGUUUAUAACACUCAACUGGCACCCUAGAGGAGGUAAGUCGUAACAUGGUAAGUGUACUGGAAGGUGCACUUGGUUAAUCAAAGUGUAGCUUAAUAAAAGCCUUUCGCUUACACCGAUAAAAUAUCAGUUAAAUCCCGAUCGCUUUGAGCCCUAAAUCUAGCCUACCUACCACCUAUGUAAACCACCACUAAUCUGAUAAUAAUAAAACAUUUUAUCCGUAUAGUAGAGGAGAU
rnacentral:rRNA from 1 species